UCGCGUGCCCCGUUCCCCUAAGACCUGCUCGUCUAUUUUGCUGCGCGCGUGCUGCUCGACGAAAUCACGAUAAAUGCGUAUGUUCUCUCUCGAUUCACGCGUUCGCGUUGGUGUCUAUUUAGGCAAUGUCGCGAUGCGGGUACUAGGCUACUAGCUCUCUUCCGAGCACGGGUAGUUAUUCGUACCACGCACUGACGAUGUUCGACGAAAUGCACGGUAGUGUUGGUUGAUGUUGUCCUGAUGUCCUCACUGCAAUCUCGCUGUUUAUGUAGGCGGAUCCUCGAGCUGUUGCAACCCGUGUAGUGUUUGAUAUUUAUAGUUAGUUGUGUUUCAGCUUCUGAUGUGUUGGGCUUUCGUCUCUGUUCACAGCAUCCUACUUUGGCUGCAUAGUGCUCUAUGCCUAGGUGCUUUAUGUGGAACUCGUUCUGUUUCAGAACUAGUCAAUGUUAUGAACUCUUGAAGUAGGCUCUAGGCUAUUCAUAGCAGGCGGUGUUGGUUGUGUUAGUUGGCCCAACAUCUGGAUUAGGCGCAAAAUCAUUGGUGGGUGUAUUGAAUACCUCGUCUUCAAAGGCUGAUUUCAUAAUGUGAUUUUACAGCAAAUUAGAAUUUUAAAGAAAGUCAGCAAAUGGGUUCUGAUAAUUUACUUGGUCCUAAAUGGCCCGUGGCCAGCCUCUUACGGAUAAGGUGGGAUGCUGGUGUCUCCGAAGGUACGGAUGGCAUUUGACAGAAUGCCGUUGAAGGAACAUGGUAUUGAUUGUUUUUGCAAAGGAAGGUGUUACUGUGCUACUGGUUGUGCACAUCUUGUCAGUGCAUCAACGAUGCUCUAACCAGAGGCUUCCAUACUGAUUUUUCCUCCUUUAGACCAUCUCGUUGUGAUCAAAUCGCAUGCUAUAGACUCUUGGGUUUCAUGAAGCUUACAGCCCCACUUCUUAUUUUGAGACAUUAUCUACCAUAUCACCUUACUCUGUUUCUGCUAUCAGGAAUAUUGUUAGCAACUCUUUA